UACGAAGGGGGGCUAGCGUUGCUCGGAAUCACUGGGCGUAAAGGGUGCGUAGGCGGCCAUUCAAGUCGGGGGUGAAAGCCUGUGGCUCAACCACAGAAUUGCCUUCGAUACUGUUUGGCUUGAGUCUGGUAGAGGUUGGUGGAACUGCGAGUGUAGAGGUGAAAUUCGUAGAUAUUCGCAAGAACACCGGUGGCGAAGGCGGCCAACUGGACCAGUACUGACGCUGAGGCGCGAAAGCGUGGGGGAGCAAACAGG
rnacentral:rRNA from 1 species